CUACUGUAUUGUUAGUUAAUAUACUAGACCACAGUUCGUGUAAUUUAAAAAAAGUUUAUAUUUCGAUUGAUCCUUUUGAUAAUGGCUAUUGUUACAAUUUUAAAUGUAUUUUCAGGUCAUAUGAUUAUAGGUUGGAUUGGCAAUAACUGUCAAACGUCUGGCUUUAAAGUUAUAUAACAUAUUAUUUAACAUGUUAUUUAAUAUGUAUUGUGAUCUGGAUUUGUUUGAGGAAGGGAAAUUCAUUUUUGUAUUCUUU
rnacentral:lncRNA from 1 species